AAGUCCCGCAACGAGCGCAACCCUUAUCCUUAUUUGCCAGCACUUCGGGUGGGAACUUUAGGGAGACUGCCGGUGAUAAACCGGAGGAAGGUGGGGACGACGUCAAGUCAUCAUGGCCCUUACGAGUAGGGCUACACACGUGCUACAAUGGUCGGUACAGAGGGUUGCGAAGCCGCGAGGUGGAGCUAAUCUCACAAAGCCGGUCGUAGUCCGGAUUGGAGUCUGCAACUCGACUCCAUGAAGUCGGAAUCGCUAGUAAUCGUAGAUCAGAAUGCUACGGUGAAUACGUUCCCGGGCCUU
rnacentral:rRNA from 1 species